UAGCCAAACACUUAGCUACUUAAAUAAGCCUAAUUUUAGCCUCAUCAAUAGACCUUGCUACUAUUUGGGUGCUAAAUACAAGUUGAGCUUUGUGUUUUGAGUUGUGAGUGUGAGGUGGUGGAUUGUAAAGAAUAGACAUUUCUAGACUUGAUAGAAGGUGAAAAGAAAGAAGUUCUAAAAAAAAAAAAAAGACGACCUCCAAAUUCACAAAAGUCGAGGUCUUUACAAAAACAGAAAAAAAAGAAUAAGUUGAUGAAAUAAAGAUAGAGCUUCUAUGUUUGUUUGUGUAAUCUCGUCUGGAAUAGAUCUCAAGUUUGGGGGAGUGUGGGUUUGGUUGUAAUUUUUCGUUGGUUAAUCUUUGGAAGGAAGUUGUAGGAUGGAAGAUUUUGGCACUCAAAUGUGUAGCCUUUGAGCUCACUAUCCAUAUUGAUCCAACCUCGUCCCUAGCCCCAUUACAACCUUGAAACAAGACCUUGGACCUUAUCAUUGAUGCUUGUGGAUGUUGUGUAAAUAACUUGGUAGAGUUAAAGAAGUUCGGUUUGAAAUCCGUGUGUCUAUGUGAUUAGUAGUGCUUGAUGAGUCGAUGAUGACGGUUUGAGUUGUUUGAUCGUAUGUUUGGACCUACUUUGAAGUGCACCUUGACUUGAAGUUCUAGGGGGAUGAGUGAUUGUUCUUGAGAGUGGGAAAUUUCGAUUGGAAAUGUUGGGGGUUUAGAUUUUGUCACUCACAUCCUUACAUGAUUCUUUUUGAUGAAAAUCUCUUUGCAGGUGAAGUUUGGGUGAGUUUUCGUGCUUAAAAUGUACCUUGCUCGGGGCGAGCAAGAGCUCAAGUUUGGGGGAGGGAUGGAAGCUGGAAGUUCGCCGGGUGAAAUUGGCAAAGCAUGCAAAGAUCAGAAACUUCGCCCGGUCGGGCAAUUAUGAGCUUCAAAACGCUCGGUCGGGCGUUUCGUGUAAAGCAUGAGGAGGACUCCAGAAAGUUCGCCCGAUCGGGCGAUUCUCAGUUGCCAAAACGCCCGGUCGGGCGAAAUGUGUACGACAGGACCCAGAAGCUAACGCCCGGUCGGGCGAUUUAGUCUUUUAAAAACGCCCGGUCGGGCGUUUGAUGUUUCAACCGUCAAUUCAGCAGUUUUCGCGGCGGUUUUGAGGAAUAAAGGAGAAAAAGGACGACAUUUUUGGGGGAGACGAAAAGAGAGAUGGGAGAAAGGCGGAGAAGUGACGUGAGAGAAGAAAAAGGCUGUAAAAGAGAAGAGAGAGAGGAGCAUUGGGAGAAGAAAGUCAAAAGAAAGUGACAGAGGAAUUGAUUAAAAAUUUGAGAGAGAAAGUGACGUUUUUGGGGAGAAGAAUUGUUAAUUUCAAGCUUAUUCCAUGAAUCAAAGGGUUCUUCCAUUGUCAAUUGCUCCUAGUUUAAUUAUGCUUGGCUAAAAAUUCCAUUGUUGCUCCAAACAUGUUGUAGACAAGUAAAUUUCGUGAUUUAUCCAAUGUUCGUUUCUAUUU